rnacentral:rRNA from 1 species
GACGAACCGUGCAAACGUUGUUCGGAAUCACUGGGCUUAAAGGGCGCGUAGGCGGGCCAGCCAGUCUGUGGUGAAAGCCUCCAGCUUAACUGGAGAAGUGCCGUGGAUACUGCUGGCCUCGAGGAGGAUAGGGGCAUCUGGAACGGUCGGUGGAGCGGUGAAAUGCGUUGAUAUCGACCGGAACUCCGAUGGCGAAGGCAGCUCCUCGUGGGACGGUACUGACGCUGAGACGCGAAAGCGUGGGGAGCAAACAGG